UACGUAGGGUGCGAGCGUUAAUCGGAAUUACUGGGCGUAAAGCGUGCGCAGGCGGUUUUGUAAGCCAGAUGUGAAAUCCCCGGGCUUAACCUGGGAAUGGCAUUUGGGACUGCAAGGCUGGAGUGCGGCAGAGGAGACUGGAAUUCCUGGUGUAGCAGUGAAAUGCGUAGAUAUCAAGUGGAACACCAGUGGCGAAGGCGAGUCCCUGGACAACUCCUGACACUGAGGCACGAAAGCUAGGGGAGCAAACAGG
rnacentral:rRNA from 1 species